rnacentral:rRNA from 1 species
ACGGGGGUGCAGCAAUGCACAACCGGCGAACGGGUGCGUAACACGUGAGCAACCUACCGAUUUGUGGGGGAUAGCCGGCCCAACGGCCGGGUAAUACCGCAUACGCUUGCUUGGGGACAUCCCUGGGCAAGGAAACCUCCGGGGCAAAUCGAGGGGCUCGCGGCCUAUCAGCUAGUUGGCGAGGUCACGACUCACCAAGGCGAUGACGGGUAGCUGGUCUGAGAGGAUGGCCAGCCACAUUGGGACUGAGAAACGGCCCAGACUCCUACGGGAGGCAGCAGUGGGGAAUCUUGCGCAAUGGACGAAAGUCUGACGCAGCGACGCCGCGUGGGGGAUGACGGGUUUCGGCUUGUAAACCCCUGUUGCCCGGGACGAAACGCCUUUUUCGAGAGGCUUGACGGUACCGGGUGAGGAAGCACCGGCUAACUCCGUGCCAGCAGCCGCGGUAAUACGGAGGGUGCGAGCGUUGUCCGGAAUCACUGGGCGUAAAGGGCGCGUAGGUGGCGGAGCAAGUCAACGGUGAAAGCUCGACGCUCAACGUCGAGUCGGCCGUCGAGACUGCUUUGCUUGAGCACUGUAGAGGCAGAUGGAAUUCCGGGUGUAGCGGUGGAAUGCGUAGAGAUCCGGAAGAACACCGGUGGCGAAGGCGGUCUGCUGGGCAGUUGCUGACACUGAGGCGCGACAGCGUGGGGAGCAAACAGGAUUAGAUACCCUGGUAGUCCACGCCGUAAACGAUGGGCACUAGGUGCUUGGGGGG